GGAAGUAAAAGCGUAACAAGAUUUCCGUAGGUGAACCUGCGGAAGGAUCAUUACCUAGAGUUUGUAGACUUCGGUCUGCUACCUCUUACCCAUGUCUUUUGAGUACCUUCGUUUCCUCGGCGGGUCCGCCCGCCGAUUGGACAACAUUCAAACCCUUUGCAGUUGCAAUCAGCGUCUGAAAAAACAUAAUAGUUACAACUUUCAACAACGGAUCUCUUGGUUCUG
rnacentral:misc_RNA from 1 species